AUACUACCUGGCGGGGGAGACACCGCGAUCACGAAGGAGGUUUUCCCAGGGCAAGGCUCACCCACUGCGCUCCGGUUGUGCCGAUCCCUGCGAUUUCCCCAAACGUGGGCAGCUCAACUGCAUGAUUUGUAGUAGUGGCGGACUGUGUUUGUGCUCUCCCCUG